CGUGCGUGUGUGCGUGUGUGUGCGUGUGUGUGUGUGUGUGUGUGUGCGCGCGCGCGAACCGUUAGACUGCGCCAGCCUCCAUUCCCGC
rnacentral:miRNA from 1 species